UACAGAGGGUGCGAGCGUUGUUCGGAAUUAUUGGGCGUAAAGCGCUUGUAGGCGGCACGUCAAGUCGCGUGUGAAAUCCCCAGGCUUAACCUGGGAAGUGCGCGCGAAACUGACGAGCUUGAGUGCCGGAGAGGGUCGCGGAAUUCCCGGUGUAGAGGUGAAAUUCGUAGAUAUCGGGAGGAACACCAGUGGCGAAGGCGGCGACCUGGACGGACACUGACGCUGAGACGGCGAAAGCG
rnacentral:rRNA from 1 species